GCGGAAGGAUCAUUACCGAGUGCGGGUCUUUAUGGCCCAACCUCCCACCCGUGACUAUUGUACCUUGUUGCUUCGGCGGGCCCGCCAGCGUUGCUGGCCGCCGGGGGGCGACUCGCCCCCGGGCCCGUGCCCGCCGGAGACCCCAACAUGAACCCUGUUCUGAAAGCUUGCAGUCUGAGUGUGAUUCUUUGCAAUCAGUUAAAACUUUCAACAAUGGAUCUCUUGGUUCCGGCAUCGAUGAAGAACGCAGCGAAAUGCGAUAACUAAUGUGAAUUGCAGAAUUCAGUGAAUCAUCGAGUCUUUGAACGCACAUUGCGCCCCCUGGUAUUCCGGGGGGCAUGCCUGUCCGAGCGUCAUUGCUGCCCUCAAGCCCGGCUUGUGUGUUGGGCCCUCGUCCCCCGGCUCCCGGGGGACGGGCCCGAAAGGCAGCGGCGGCACCGCGUCCGGUCCUCGAGCGUAUGGGGCUUCGUCUUCCGCUCCGUAGGCCCGGCCGGCGCCCGCCGACGCAUUUGUUUGCAACUUGUUUUUUCCAGGUUGACCUCGGAUCAGGUAGGGAUACCCGCUGAACUUAAGCAUAUCAAAA
rnacentral:rRNA from 1 species